rnacentral:lncRNA from 1 species
CUGUCAUGUAAGAUGUACCUUUUGCCUUCUGCCAUGAUUGUGAAGCCUCCCCAGCUGCGUGGAACUGCAGAUGACAAGACCCAAGGAGAUGGAGGAGCCACACAACUGAAAGAGAUGAGGUUCCUGAAUCACCACAUGGAGGGAAGCGGCCACUGAUUAGAAACAUCUGCCUGUUUCAUAAGGAUAAGUAAAGAGGGAAUGGAUGCCACAUGGUGCAGCUGCCUAAAAGCUAAGAAGGGGUCAUGGGGUAACAGGAAAUACCAAGGAAAAAUAAUAAUUGAUCCAGAGAAAAGGAAAGAAGAAUGGACUUGAAACCCUCCUGAGGCUCUAAUGAUGGUGAUUCUGCAAGGCUGAGAGCAGAGAUUUACAUAUUUGCUGUCAAGGUGAAGGUACCACAACGUGGAUGCCAUCUGGCAGGCACCUGGGUGGCUGACACGCAACAUCAAGUGCAGUAUCAUGAAAAUUAGCCAAGCUGGGCCCUGGUACUUCAUUGCUACCUGGUGUGACGGUGGACACCCAACAUCCACACCCUGGCUCCCAGUCUCCCCACCUUUAAAAUGGAUUUGAUCUCCAGAUUGCUACGUUUGUGUCCAUAUGUAAUGGACAAAAGUGGUGAUGGACUAACAAAUUACGGGAUGAGGAUCUGCAGGCUUUAUUUACUACUAAAAUGUUUAUUUCAUGUGUUGAUUAUCUGCAGCAUCGCCACCUUGCAGUUAGUCACUGGAGUCCUCUCAGAAUAGGAACCCACCACUGCUCCCGAGUAAGCCGGUGACCUGCAGCUAAAAAAUUAAUCCUUUCGUGUCUCAGUUUUCUGAUCUUUACAUCAGUGAUGAUAGCAGUGCCACCUUGUAGAGUUCUUGUGAAAAUUAAAUGAGUUAAUGAACUUAAAGUGCCUAAACAGUAGCUGGCAGAAAGUAAAUGCUCAAUAAAUGUUAGGUAUUUUGACCAUAAUCGUCAUUUUUUUCUCAUUGGCCUCUUUUUUCUCUUCUUAUGCCUUAGGAUUUGAGAGAUGUCCCUUAAACACCAACUGGUGUGUUCUGUGUAAAAGACACUCAACAGGCCGGGUGCAGUGGCUCACGCCUGUAAUCCCAGCGCUUUGAGAGGCCGAGGCAGGCAGAUCACUUGAGACCAGGAGUUCGAGAUCAGCCUGGCCAACAUGGCAAAACCUUGUCUCUACUAAAAAAUACAAAGAUUAGUCGGGUGUGGUGGCUUAUGCCUGUAGUUCCAGCUACUUGGGAGGCUGAGGCAUGAGAAUCGCUUGAACCUGGGAGGCGGAGGUUGUGGUGAGCCAAGACUGUGCCACUGCAUUCCAGCCUGGGUGACAGAGUGAGAAUUUGUCUCAAAAAAAAAAUAAAAUAAAAUAAAAUAAAUAAAUAAAUAAAUAAAUAAAGGCACUCAACAGGGUAGACAUAGGAAGUAAUCCUGGUCUGGCUUGGCCUGGCUUAGCCUCUGGAGGCGGCUGUUUUUCCACCUGGUAAAUUGAUGAUUUUCAUUGCGUAUUUUCUCUGAGUGUUUGUUAACUCCAGGGCAGUCUUUUGGAGUUAGUUUGUCAUUGACUUGAACCCACCAGAGAAGAGUUGACCUCUCAUUCUGCAUCUGGCAUUCAGGGUACGGCGCCAGGACUCAAUCAACAAAGAGUGGAAAUAGCCAUUGGCCGUUGAGGACCCGCCAGGCCUUGGCAUGCCAGAGGGAAUGUCUUUUUUGGUUAUGCCCGGUAAGUACAACAAACUAAAAGAGAAAAAAUAAAUAAAUUUGGACAAAGCGAUCUCAAUUCAUGUGUUUUGAAGAAACCUGGAAUAACUUAGAGAAGAGAGAUGACAAAUAUAUGUUUCCGGAAAAUAUUAGCUGAAACUGCAACCACCGUUGUAAACAUUUGCCGUCCUCCUGCAGAGGAGGGAGCACGCCACCUCAUCUUGUUGCAUUUAAGUCCAUAUAUAAUGGAUAAAAGUGCUGAUGGACUAACCAAUUAUGGGGUGAGGAUCUGCAGAUUUUAUUUACUAUGAAAACGUGUAUUUUAUCGGUUGGUUAUUUAAAUAAAUGGC